rnacentral:rRNA from 3 species
UGGGGAAUAUUGCACAAUGGAGGGAACUCUGAUGCAGCGACGCCGCGUGAACGAAGAAGGCUUUCGAGUCGUAAAGUUCUCUUAUAUGGGAAGAUAAUGACGGUACCAUAAGAAAAAGCCCCGGCUAACUACGUGCCAGCAGCCGCGGUAAUACGUAGGGGGCUAGCGUUGUCCGGAAUCACUGGGCGUAAAGGGUUCGCAGGCGGAAAUGCAAGUCAGGUGUAAAAGGCAGUAGCUUAACUACUGUAAGCAUUUGAAACUGCAUAUCUUGAGAAGAGUAGAGGUAAGUGGAAUUUUUAGUGUAGCGGUGAAAUGCGUAGAUAUUAAAAAGAAUACCGGUGGCGAAGGCGACUUACUGGGCUCAUUCUGACGCUGAGGAACGAAAGCGUGGGUAGCAAACAGG